AUUGAACGCUGGCGGCAGGCCUAACACAUGCAAGUCGAACGAGUGGCGGACGGGUGAGUAAUGUCUGGGAAACUGCCCGAUGGAGGGGGAUAACUACUGGAAACGGUAGCUAAUACCGCAUACCAUCGGAUGAGCCCAGAUGGGAUUAGCUAGUUGGUGGGGUAAAGGCUCACCCAGUCGACGAUCCCUAGCUGGUCUGAGAGGAUGACCGGCCACACGGGAACUGAGACACGGUCCAGACUCCGACGGGAGGCAGCAGUGGGGAAUAUUGCACAAUGGGCGCAAGCCUGAUGCAGCCAUGCCUCGUGUAUGAAGAAGGCCUUAGGGUUGUAAAGUACUUUCAGCGGGGAGGCGUUACCCUCAGAAGAAGCACCGGCUAACUCCGUGCCAGCAGCCGCGGUAAUAC
rnacentral:rRNA from 1 species